rnacentral:rRNA from 1 species
GACGAACGCUGGCGGCGUGCUUAACACAUGCAAGUCGAACGGUAAGGCCCUUCGGGGUACACGAGUGGCGAACGGGUGAGUAACACGUGGGUGAUCUGCCCUGCACUUCGGGAUAAGCCUGGGAAACUGGGUCUAAUACCGGAUAGGACCACUGCCUGCAUGGGUGGUGGUGGAAAGCUUUUGCGGUGUGGGAUGGGCCCGCGGGCUAUCAGCUUGUUGGUGGGGUGAUGGCCUACCAAGGCGACGACGGGUAGCCGGCCUGGGAGGGUGACCGGCCACAAUGGGACUGAGAUACGGCCCAGACUCCUACGGGAGGCAGCAGUGGGGAAUAUUGCACAAUGGGCGCAAGCCUGAUGCAGCGACGCCGCGUGAGGGAUGACGGCCUUCGGGUUGUAAACCUCUUUCAGCACCGACGAAGCGCAAGUGACAGUAGGUGCAGAAGAAGGACCGGCCAACUACGUGCCAGCCGCCGCAGUAACAC